rnacentral:rRNA from 1 species
GAUGAACGCUGGCGGCGUGCCUAACACAUGCAAGUCGAGCGAAAAGACGAGGCGCUUGCUCCUCUGACGUUUGCGGCGGGCGGGUGAGUCACACGUGGAUACCCUACCUAUAAUACUGGGAUAACUUCGGGAAACCGGCUCUAACAGCGGAGAAUAUAUUGAACCGCGUGGUUCAUUGGUAAAAGACGGCUGUUCUGGCUCUUAUAGCUGGAUCCGGGCCGUAUUAGCUAGUUGGUACGGUAACGGCUUACCAAGGCUAGGAUGCGUGGCCGACCGGAGAGGGUGAUCGGCCACACGGGAACUGAGACAGGGUCCAGACUCCUAAGGGAGGCAGCAGUAGGGAAUCGUCGGCAAUGGGCGAAAGCCUGACGGAGCAACGCCGCGUGUGUGAUGAAGGUCUUCGGAUCGUAAAGCUCUGUUAUUAGGGAAGAACAGAUGUGUAAGUAAAUAUGCACGUCUUGACGGUACCUAAUCAGAAAGCAACGGCUAACUACGUG